rnacentral:rRNA from 1 species
ACAUGCAAGUCGAGCGGACCGACGGGAGCUUGCUCCCUUAGGUCAGCGGCGGACGGGUGAGUAACACGUGGGUAACCUGCCUGUAAGACUGGGAUAACUCCGGGAAACCGGGGCUAAUACCGGAUGCUUGAUUGAACCGCAUGGUUCAAUCAUAAAAGGUGGCUUUYAGCUACCACUUACAGAUGGACCCGCGGCGCAUUAGCUAGUUGGUGAGGUAACGGCUCACCAAGGCGACGAUGCGUAGCCGACCUGAGAGGGUGAUCGGCCACACUGGGACUGAGACACGGCCCAGACUCCUACGGGAGGCAGCAGUAGGGAAUCUUCCGCAAUGGACGAAAGUCUGACGGAGCAACGCCGCGUGAGUGAUGAAGGUUUUCGGAUCGUAAAACUCUGUUGUUAGGGAAGAACAAGUACCGUUCGAAUAGGGCGGUACCUUGACGGUACCUAACCAGAAAGCCACGGCUAACUACGUGCCAGCAGCCGCGGUAAUACGUAGGUGGCAAGCGUUGUCCGGAAUUAUUGGGCGUAAAGCGCGCGCAGGCGGUUUCUUAAGUCUGAUGUGAAAGCCCCCGGCUCAACCGGGGAGGGUCAUUGGAAACUGGGGAACUUGAGUGCAGAAGAGGAGAGUGGAAUUCCACGUGUAGCGGUGAAAUGCGUAGAGAUGUGGAGGAACACCAGUGGCGAAGGCGACUCUCUGGUCUGUAACUGACGCUGAGGCGCGAAAGCGUGGGGAGCGAACAGGAUUAGAUACCCUGGUAGUCCACGCCGUAAACGAUGAGUGCUAAGUGUUAGAGGGUUUCCGCCCUUUAGUGCUGCAGCAAACGCAUUAAGCACUCCGCCUGGGGAGUACGGUCGCAAGACUGAAACUCAAAGGAAUUGACGGGGGCCCG